GGGAUAGGGGGAGAGGGAGAGAGAUAGGGGGGAGAGGAGGAAGACGCAGAGAGCGGAUACGAAUGAUGGAAAAGUUGAGGCUUAUUUGAGGCAAAACCAAGUGAGCAUACGGCAGCAGCAACACAGGCAUUCCGCGGUGAGGCAAGCCGAACACAGAGUCAAUUUGAGAUCAUUACCGCUAAACGAGAACGCCAUACCUCGGGA